rnacentral:misc_RNA from 1 species
AACAUCGCGCACCUGCGGGAACCUGCGGAGGGAUCAUUACAGAGUUGCAAAACUCCCUAAACCAUUGUGAACGUUACCUAAACCGUUGCUUCGGCGGGCGGCCCGGGUCCUUCCCGGCGCCCCUCGGCCCUCGCGGGCGCCCGCCGGAGGUAAACCAAACUAUUGCAUUGUAUGGCCUCUCUGAGUCUUCUGUACUGAAUAAGUCAAAACUUUCAGCAACGGAUCUCAGAUCGGAAGAGC